rnacentral:rRNA from 1 species
ACUCCUACGGGAGGCAGCAGUGGGGAAUAUUGCACAAUGGGCGCAAGCCUGAUGCAGCAACGCCGCGUGAGCGAAGAAGGUCUUCGGAUCGUAAAGCUCUUUUCUUAGGGAAGAAAACUGACGGUACCUAAGGAAUAAGCACCGGCUAAAUACGUGCCAGCAGCCGCGGUAAUACGUAUGGUGCAAGCGUUAUCCGGAAUCACUGGGCGUAAAGGGGUGCGUAGGCGGUUUUGCAAGUCAGAAGUGAAAGGCUACGGCUCAACCGUAGUAAGCUUUUGAAACUGCAAGACUAGAGUGCAGGAGAGGAAAGUGGAAUUCCUAGUGUAGAGGUGAAAUUCGUAGAUAUUAGGAGGAACACCAGUGGCGAAGGCGACUUUCUGGACUGUAACUGACGCUGAUGCACGAAAGCGUGGGGAGCGAACAGGAUUAGAUACCCUGGUAGCACAGCG